AAUUUGUGGACAGUUGAUGGCAUUGGGAAAAACUCAUCAAUGAUGCAUUUGCAAACUUUAAGAGAAUAUCCUUGUGGACUUAAAAGAGGAAUUAAUGGUGUCAGUUACAGUUGUAUACUCUUCAAACAAAGGACAAAAAAGUUUGUCGUAAGGUGCUUUGUGGAAAUAAAUCCAAUGCCUGGGUCCAAGACAUAAAAGAUGAUUUUUAUUAUUUGUAAAUUUUGCGAUUUGUAAUACAUUUGUUAUGUUGUAUAUAUGUAUUUGUGAAUUAUUUUGUAUUGCUCAAAUUCUAAAAUAAACAAG